GUAGAUGCGGUUGAGUCCUUUUCCUGGAAGUCGGUCAGCUGAAAAACAAUGUAAAUUCCCGGUUUUGAAGACUUAUUGCUCUCAAAUCUGAUGGCUUUUAAACGGAGGGGCCGGAAUAUCACAGAAGCCUUGGGAACAGCAAAGUCAAAAGAAUGGUACUUUUAAAAAUGGUGUCUUUGCUGUAAGGAGCAGAGCAUAUUCAAAACUCAUGGGAGCAUCUCAGGUCUCAGGAGCUCUGUUUUCACGCUACUAAAUCUUGCAACUGCACUCUUCUGGUCCGUGUUUAUUACGGCUGGAGCUGAGCUUUCACUCGCCCUGCACCACUGCUGCUGGCUGCCGUCACAGACCCGCCACUGACUUCCAUCCCUCCGGAUGCGGCAGGGUGUCCGCUGUGCUCCUGAUCCAGUGAGGCGCCCAAUGCCCCUCCCAAUCGGGCUAAAGGCUUGCCAUUGUUCCUGCACGGCUAAGUGCCUGGGUUUGACCUAAUCAAGCUGAACAUUAGUCACUGGAUUCCACGCUUCUCUU
rnacentral:lncRNA from 10 species